rnacentral:rRNA from 1 species
UACGGAGGGGGCUAGCGUUGUUCGGAAUUACUGGGCGUAAAGCGCACGUAGGCGGCUUUGCAAGUUAGAGGUGAAAGCCCGGGGCUCAACUCCGGAAUUGCCUUUAAAACUGCAUCGCUAGAAUUGUGGAGAGGUAAGUGGAAUUCCGAGUGUAGAGGUGAAAUUCGUAGAUAUUCGGAAGAACACCAGUGGCGAAGGCGACUUACUGGACACAUAUUGACGCUGAGGUGCGAAAGCGUGGGAGCAACAGG